rnacentral:rRNA from 1 species
UCGCCGCGCCUGCUGGUCGGGUCUGAGAUCUUUUACCGGACUCGCUCGGCUGCAGGACGCGGUCCGACCGUGUGCACUUUCCGCGGGCAGAGCGCCACGACCGGUUCUCGGGGCGGUCAGAAGGCGGCGGGGAUGGUAGGUGUGCGCUUCGGCCUGCACUGGUAUAGCCCCGCCUGUCCCGAUCCGCUCGGGGACCGAGGAGCCGCCGUCGGCGAUUAGGGCCGCCUCGCCCUCCUGGGAUGUCCCGACUGGCAGAGACUGGGCAACCGUGUCUGCCGACCGCUUCCCUGGAUGGACUUGGGGUGGGCCCCGCCGGCACAGGGUCGGUGGCGAAUCGGUCGGCCCUCCACCCGACCCGUCUUGAAACACGGACCAAGGAGUCUAACAUGCGCGCGAGUCGUUGGGUCGUACGAAACCCGAAGGCGAAGUGAAAGCGAGGGCCGGUCUCUGACCGUGCUCAGGUGGGAUCCCUCCUCUCUUCUGAGGGGGGCGCACCACCGGCCCGUCUCGUCCGCGUCGUCGGUGAGGCGGAGCAUGAGCGUGCACGUUGGGACCCGAAAGAUGGUGAACUAUGCCUGAGUAGGACGAAGCCAGAGGAAACUCUGGUGGAGGUCCGCAGCGAUUCUGACGUGCAAAUCGAUCGUCAAACUUGGGUAUAGGGGCGAAAGAC